rnacentral:rRNA from 1 species
GCAGUCGCGGUAAAACGUAAAGGACAAGUAAUACACAUAAUAGGUAUAAAGAGUUAGCAAUACUGAUCAAUAUUGUUUAUAUAAUAAAAUAUAAACAGAUCUAGAAUCUAUAAGUGAGUUAUUAUGAGGUAUAUGAGUAACGGUUAAAUGUUGAAAUACAUAUAUAACAACCAAUUAAGAAGUGAUAUAACUAAUACAUAGAUUGACGUUGAGUAACGAAACUUAGAGUAUCGAAUAGGACUAGUCAACCUAUUAGUUCUAAGCGUAAACGAUGUAUACUAAUAUUUAUAUUAAUAAUAAUAUGGAUAUAAAGCUAAUGCGUAAGUAUAUCACCAGGGGAGUACUUAUUAAUCGAAGAAACCCAAAACAAUAGACGGUUUGAGUGUUAACAGUGGAUUA